UAGGUUUGUACUAAAAUGUCUCGGUUAAAUCGAGCGAGUUCACUUUACGUUUAAGGAGACGGAAAGAUUGGUCUGGGGAAGUUGGGAAGCACAUGUCACGGUGACUCGGCUGGUUUGCAUCUGGAAGUGGUAGAUUCUCACCUGGUGCCCGAAUUGGUUACAAGGGAAGCCCAGCACAACGAAACGGUUCGGGUAGCGGUUCUGAAGCUCGUUGAGUUGGGUGAAAUCCCUUGUGGUCGUGCCUCAGAGAGAGGCCACGUUCUCGAUCAGGACUACUUUGCCCCUGAAGACAUUGAAGUCCAGCUUCUCCCCGUCCAGGGUGACGGCGCUGAGGUCGUAAAACGACUUGACGCUCUGAGCCAUGGUGCAGAACGACCGAGUGCAGACUCUCUGAAGGAGAAAUUUCAUACAACGGCGCAUAUAACAACCACCUGACCACAAGUACAAAGAGUCCUAUCUCUGAGCAAUGACUAUGCAAAAAGCUAAUCCUCAACCCCGCCCUUUUCAGAAACUGGAACACUCCCUAGAACAGCAAGGAACAAGACUGACCUCAAGUACUGGUUAGGGGUUUUAGACUAUUGCCCCAUUAUUUCACAAGCUGGCACUCCUUUUUAGGCAAAAUGUUUAGUAACUGUAGCCAUGUUUUAAACAAACCAGAUGUGGAAAAGAGACAGAACGUGUAUCUGCACAACCUAGUUGUGAAAUGUGCAGCAAAUUAACCCUUUCGCAAACGCGAACCGAGAAAGAAAGACCAAAACUGGUUGAAACCGAAAAAAAUUGAACUUCUAAAUUUAGUUAACGGGUGAUCACAGCAGCUUUGUGGGCCUAAUUUGGACAUCAAACGGAGCAUAACAUUGUUUUACUGGGAUGGAGGUGCUGGAAGUUAACACCAGGGAAAAAUGAUGACUGUUUCUAAAUCCACAAUGAGAGAAGUGGUUUUUUGUCUUCAUAAACCAGAAAGACUGUGACCAGGCAAUCCCAUGGAGACACUGGGAGAAGAUGAAAGUGAGAUGCUUAUGGCAGAGGAGAGGGCUGUACGUCUUUUGCCAAAGGUUGAAUAUCCAAAGUGAAACGCAAUGUUCCAAAUGGGAACGGACCAAGGCUGUAUGACAGAUUUCGUGAUCACAUUGGGGUGGAAGAAAAAUGAAGAGAAGAAAAUAUGAAGAAAAGAAGAAAAAAAUUUCCAAA